CCUACGGGUGGCAGCAGUGGGGAAUAUUGCACAAUGGGGGAAACCCUGAUGCAGCAACGCCGCGUGAAGGAAGACGGUUUUCGGAUUGUAAACUUCUGUUCUUAGUGAAGAAUAAUGACGGUAGCUAAGGAGCAAGCCACGGCUAACUACGUGCCAGCAGCCGCGGUAAUACGUAGGUGGCAAGCGUUGUCCGGAAUUACUGGGUGUAAAGGGAGCGCAGGCGGGAAGCCAAGUCAGCUGUGAAAACUACGGGCUUAACUUGUAGACUGCAGUUGAAACUGGUUUUCUUGAGUACUGGAGAGGCAGACGGAAUUCCUUGUGUAGCGGUGAAAUGCGUAGAUAUAAGGAGGAACACCAGUGGCGAAGGCGGUCUGCUGGACAGCAACUGACGGUGAGGCGCGAAAGCGUGGGGAGCAAACAGGAUUAGAUACCCCAGUAGUC
rnacentral:rRNA from 1 species